CUUUCUUGGCAUGCUUGUUGUUUUCCUGUACAUGUAUGCAAAAGUCCAGUGCUAUGUGUUCGGUGCCAGGAGGCAAGCCGUCCUCUGGUUCUAUCCUUAAUCACUGGCACAUUU